AGAAUGUGAAACUGCAGAUGAAAACAGUAAGAAUAACAGUCUGUUAUCUUCAGAAUAGAGAUGGCCAGAAUAGCAAGGGCCACAUUAUCUUGAGAAGCAGAAGGAACACGGCCAUGCCAGUAUAAUCCUUGCUUGAACUACUAAACCUCAUCAAGAAAAGGAACAUGCUAGCUACAGCUACUAGUAGUGGGAAGCUGGUUCUCUGGAUACACACAUGCAGCAUUUAAAAAAGGUAAAAAUUAAAAAAGUACUAUAGUUGAUUUAUUUUUUUAUGAUGUUCCCCCAAAAUUCUGACAGAACCCUGCUCUUUUCCCAGUAUUUGCAGGUGCUGUGGGUGCUGCUCAAGUAACAAAUCUCUACAGUCUGAUUUUCUGCGUGCAUCCAGCAGAGCCCUGUGCUGAUGUUGCUGCCAUCACUGCUGUAAUCCUAUGUUAUGAAAGAGAGAACAUCUUUUGUUGGGCUGCCAAGCUUGAGUCAUCC
rnacentral:lncRNA from 1 species